ACGUUUUUUUCAUAGAGAUUUAGAUUUAAGGUUAGAAGAAUUGUGGAAGUCGUGAGACUUCCCUUUUUUCAUCUUAAAUUGUGUUCCAUUUACAGUUUUUUGUUUUUGACUGUAAUUGAACGAAGAAAAGCCAUUUCGUGAGAAAAGGCUUUUUU
rnacentral:sRNA from 1 species